CGAUGUUCUCAGGGCGGGGUGAAAGUCCCCACCGGCGGUAAGGGCCGAAAGGCCUAAGCCCGCGAGCGCCUUCCCCAAGGUUUCUUGCCAAGGGGAGGGGUCAGCAGAUUCGGUGCGACUCCGAAGCCGACGGUUAAAGUCCGGAUGAAAGAGAACGGUC
rnacentral:ncRNA from 2 species